rnacentral:misc_RNA from 1 species
CUUUUUCCCAUGGUAUUCAGGAUAGUUCCUCUAAUAGUGUGGGCGAUGUCGCAAAAUCCCCUAAUUGAUAUACUGCUUGGUUUUCCUAUUGGCUUUCUCCGAAUUCUAACAUACAAAAGUAGUGCAACUCAUUGUGACUCGUGGGAAAUAAUGCCCAUAGCUUGAGUUUUGGCUGUAACAAAUUUGAUGUCUCUUGUGACCAAUUCUGAGUUUGGAAGCGAGGUGAAUUAUGCUGGUAACUGGUCAGCAAUGAUGGAAAUUGGUGUUAAUCUCUUAGUUGUCCUUAGCUCCUGAAGAACCUGGGUUGGGUUCACCAUUCGCUACUCCCAUACUUUUACUCAAGUAACUUGUCCAGAAUGUAUUCCAGUUGCUGACCAACUGAGAAAAUGCUUCUAACAUGCCUACAGAUCUCUCCUACGCUUGAUAGCUUGCUGUCUAGUAGGUUUUAAGUGGAUAAAAUUCUAUGUAAAUAAGUACAAAAGUGUCCGACUCUUUAAUUGACCAUUUAAUUUAGUGGUACAUUGCCUUUUUGGGUGUAAACUUCU